UCGAAGACCAAGAAGCUU
rnacentral:snRNA from 1 species